ACAAUUUUAAAAUCCAAGGAAAGAAACACUGUUCAUUAUCAGUGCACGAGCGGAAAUACCCUUUGCUUCCUUUGUGUUCUGAUUCUUUCUGACCAUUUUACCCUUUCACUAACAGUGCACGGGCGGUGCUGUUUUGCUUUGUGUCUCUUUCUCUUCUCAUUUUCAUUGCUUUUCUUUGGCCACGCGUCCACCAUUCUCUUGCCACGUGUCGAUCAUCCUGUAAUGGUUCGCUUCGGAUCUCUGGAAUUUUCUUUCGGUUUCCAUUUCCUUGGUUCGAUUAUACUUCUUGGUUUUAUUUCGGUUUCUGCUCCUCUUUGGCAAAACUUUCUGCUUCUCUAUGGUUCCUGCGUUUGAAGGCUUCUGUGCUGAGGCUCAAUGAUAACAGUGGGUGUUCGUCACCGAAGUUACGCAGCUAUGCCGAGGGUCACGUAGUGGAACUUGAUUUCACAGAUCACAGUGAACAGGGUGAUAGGUGGUUUGGAGACGUUUGAAAUCAUAAGAAGACUCAAAGAUUUCAGCUAGGUUUGAAUCAAAGCACCAAAUGAAUUCUUCUUCCAGAUAAAUCUUUGUGAACAGUCUUCUGCUUCUAUCAGUACCCAUGCCUAUUUUUUUCACACAUUUAGUCUUCAGUAGAUGGGCUAAGGAAUUCCCACGUGGCAUUGUAUCAAAUUAUCAUUGAUCGAAGGGUUAUGACAAUUUAUGACAUCAUCCGGUGUUACUAUUGGAGAAGAUUGCUGAUCAAAAUAAUAGAGAAGCAUGUACAUCAUCACAAAUAAAACAAAAAAAUUGUGAAGCGACAAUCAAUAAAAUUUUCAGACCGAAACCAUGCUCGGGAGCUCCUUGCUGCCUUCGAUCCCUCGACUUCAGAAGCUGUUUAGCUUCCAACACUUCUGUCAAUGGCGACAACAGAGGCUAAGCCUGAAGCCAAAUCAAAACCAAAAGAAAUUGAAGAGAGUUCCGAAACUCUUCUCAAAUGCAAGGGAAGGCAUCUUCCCGGUAUGCUUCGCCACAAGCAGUUGUAUUGAAGCUGGAAGAUGGGACGGGUCUUCUCUUCCCCUCACAAUCUGAAAAUGCCUAAUAAAGAGUGAACGCUGCCAAUCUUUUGAUAACUAUGAACUUAUGUACAAAAAUUUAGCUUCCAAGCAUCUCUAUCUUUUGUAUUGGUAUAUGGUCCAGCCCAUGAUGAAUGUUCUAGAUUAUUCUAGUAAGCAAGUGAGGUGGCCAGAGCA